CUGUCCCCCCGAGCUGUGGUGGCUGCCCAGGGGGUCACACACCUGGCUCAGGCCGGCCGGGCUCAGCUGGGCUUGGGGUAAUUCUGGGGACGCUGACGGCGCUGUCCCCGCAGGGGCUGAGGCGCCAUGGCCCGCAGCCAGCCGCGGAAGCGAUCGCGGAGCCGGAGCCGGCAGGAGAGGAAGGAGAAGAAGCGCAGGAAGAGCAGCAGGGACCCGCAGCCCGGCAGCAGCUCGCCCGGGAGGCAGCCCUCAGGGCCUCACAGGCGCAGGUCGAGCUCAGCAGCUGCAAAGGAAGAAAAGAAGAAGGAAGGAAAGAGCAAAAAGAAGAGGAAGGCGAGCACAUCUUCCUCUGAGACAUCUUCCUCCUCCAGCUCCUCGUCUUCAUCUUCUUCCAGCUCCUCCUCCGAGGACUCCAGUGACAGUGAGCCCAAAGCGAAGAAGAGUCGAAACAGCAAAAAGAAGCGAGUAAAACACAAAGACAAAAAGAAGAAGAGAAUGAAAAAGAAAUCAAAAAAGAAGUCAAAAGAAAAAGCUAAGGAGGAGAGAGUCAAGGCAGAAGUGGUGCCCGGCCCCUCGCUGGAGCAGUGGCAGAAGGAGUCGCUGGUGGACUCCGGGCCAGUCCUGACAGACGAACAGAAAUCCCGCAUCCAGGCGAUGAAGCCGAUGACGAAGGAGGAAUGGGAUGCGAGGCAGAGCGUCAUACGGAGAGUCGUGGACCCCGAAACGGGGAGAACCAGGCUUAUUAAGGGAGAUGGAGAAGUUCUAGAAGAAAUUGUCAGCAAGGAGAGGCACAAAGAGAUUAACAAGCAAGCCACCCGGGGGGACGGGCUGGCCUUCCAGGUGCGGACGGGGAUGCUGCAGUGAGAGCCUGGGCUCCAGCCCUGCUGGGGGCCCCGGCUCCGCGCUGACGACUGGGACCCUGCAGGCAGCACCGCAUCAGGACGCUUCCCGGGGCAGUUUCCACCCGCUCUGCUUUGUGACUCGUGUUUCUAGCGGCUCCCAAAGAAGCAGACGAGAGACGAGCCUUCCCGUUUCUUUAAUCUGUGUAACUCACAAUGAUACUGUACACAAAGCACACCCAGGCAUUGGAACGAUGCACUAACAGCAAGGAGGAGAAGGAAAGUCGUACAGAAGGUUUGUCACACACAAGCACGUCACCUGCACGGUGCUGCGCACACAGGGGCGUACCCAGCGCGGCCCCGGGAGCGCCGGCUCGGGCUGCUGCUUGGCCCGGGCUGCGGGCGGGCGGCCGGCGCCCUCGGGCAUGCCCUCCGGUGGUUCCCCGCACGCGCGUCUGUUACCCCCCAAAAGCAAUUUUUUAUAAAUAAAAUAUAAUUAACAUCGUCGAAUAUAAAAUUGACAGUCGAGGGUAUCGACAGGCAGAGGGUGCUCAGGACGGGGAAGGGACCGUAAGGCUUCUAGAACUAAUAGGAAAUGCAGCAAACGGUGGCAAUACCUGAAGAAGGGGCUGCUACAGCAAGCACGGCGGCUGCUGGGCGGAGCGGGCGUUUGUUAGUAACCCUUUGGCUAGUUACUGCUCUCGGCUCGCGUAUCGGACACUGUAAACGUUUUUGGUAUCAGAAUUUCGCCUCAUCUGACGGCGUGAGCUGGCCACCCGGGGAAACAACUCGGCGUGAACGCAUGGGGGUCCUUUUUUUUUUUUUUUUUAAAAGACUCGAAAGGGACAGCGUCAGGUAGAAAGUCUGGCCCAAUAGUUCCGUGAUACAAAAAGCUUUUUAUAAAAAUCUGAGCUCCACGGCAGAGUUUGAUUCCCAUGGAAACAAUUA